rnacentral:rRNA from 1 species
CCUACGGGGGGCAGCAGUGAGGAAUAUUGGUCAAUGGCCGUAAGGCUGAACCAGCCAAGUCGCGUGAAGGAAGAAGGAUCUAUGGUUUGUAAACUUCUUUUAUAGGGGAAUAAAGGUAUCCACGUGUGGAUAUUUGCAUGUACCCUAUGAAUAAGCAUCGGCUAACUCCGUGCCAGCAGCCGCGGUAAUACGGAGGAUGCGAGCGUUAUCCGGAUUUAUUGGGUUUAAAGGGUGCGUAGGUUGUUUUUUAAGUCAGCGGUGAAAGUUUGUGGCUCAACCAUAAAAUUGCCGUUGAAACUGGCAGACUUGAGUGUGUUUGAGGUAGGCGGAAUGCGUGGUGUAGCGGUGAAAUGCAUAGAUAUCACGCAGAACUCCGAUUGCGAAGGCAGCUUACUAAGCCAUAACUGACACUGAAGCACGAAAGCGUGGGGAUCAAACAGGAUUAGAGACCCGUGUAGUC